AGAUUGAACGCUGGCGGCAUGCCUUACACAUGCAAGUCGAACGGCAGCGCGGGGCAACCUGGCGGCGAGUGGCGAACGGGUGAGUAAUAUAUCGGAACGUACCCUGGAGUGGGGGAUAACGUAGCGAAAGUUACGCUAAUACCGCAUACGAUCUAAGGAUGAAAGUGGGGGAUGCGCAAGCACCUCAUGCUCCUGGAGCGGCCGAUAUCUGAUUAGCUAGUUGGUGGGGUAAAGGCCUACCAAGGCAUCGAUCAGUAGCUGGUCUGAGAGGACGACCAGCCACACUGGAACUGAGACACGGUCCAGACUCCUACGGGAGCAGCAGUGGGAAUUUUGGACAAUGGGCGAAAGCCUGAUCCAGCAAUGCCGCGUGACGUGAAGAAGGCCUUGGUUGUAAAGCUCUUUUGUCGAGGUAAGAACGGUAGAGAGCGUAAUAUACUCUUGCCUAAUGACGUAC
rnacentral:rRNA from 1 species